rnacentral:rRNA from 1 species
GAUGAACGCUGGCGGCGUGCCUAAUACAUGCAAGUCGAGCGAACAGACGAGGAGCUUGCUCCUCUGACGUUAGCGGCGGACGGGUGAGUAACACGUGGAUAACCUACCUAUAAGACUGGGAUAACUUCGGGAAACCGGAGCUAAUACCGGAUAAUAUAUUGAACCGCAUGGUUCAAUAGUGAAAGACGGUUUUGCUGUCACUUAUAGAUGGAUCCGCGCCACAUUAGCUAGUUGGUAAGGUAACGGCUUACCAAGGCAACGAUGCGUAGCCGACCUGAGAGGGUGAUCGGCCACACUGGAACUGAGACACGGUCCAGACUCCUACGGGAGGCAGCAGUAGGGAAUCGUCCGCAAUGGGCGAAAGCUUGACGGAGCAACGCCGCGUGAGUGAUGAAAGUCUUCGGAUCGUAAAACUCUGUUAUUAGGGAAGAACAAAUGUGUAAGUAACUAUGCACGUCUUGACGGUACCUAAUCAGAAAGCCACGGCUAACUACGUG